rnacentral:lncRNA from 1 species
AUUUUUUUUUACACAAUCUUUAUUUCUAUGUACUUAUAGUUGUACUCUCUUUUGUAGAUUCAGUGAUUUUCUGAGGUUUUGAUUGUUUUUCCCAGAUCGAAUAAUCGAUCAGUACUAUUGUCAGUUGCUUUUAUCUUUUGAAACCCUUUAUUUUGCUAAUUAUUUCAACGAGUUUUCAAGUUCUUUUUUAAUCAAUGAAUU